rnacentral:rRNA from 1 species
CCACACGUUCCCAUCCCGAACACGACCGUUAAGCCCUCCAGCGCCGAUGGUACUUGGACCGAAGGGUCCUGGGAGAGUAGGACGCCGCCAAGC